GAUGAACGCUGGCGGCGUGCCUAAUACAUGCAAGUCGAGCGAACGGACGAGAAGCUUGCUUUUCUGAUGUUAGCGGCGGACGGGUGAGUAACACGUGGAUAACCUACCUAUAAGACUGGGAUAACUUCGGGAAACCGGAGCUAAUACCGGAUAAUAUUUUGAACCGCAUGGUUCAAAAGUGAAAGACGGUCUUGCUGUCACUUAUAGAUGGAUCCGCGCUGCAUUAGCUAGUUGGUAAGGUAACGGCUUACCAAGGCAACGAUGCAUAGCCGACCUGAGAGGGGGAUCGGCCACACUGGAACUGAGACACGGUCCAGACUCCUACGGGAGGCAGCAGUAGGGAAUCUUCCGCAAUGGGCGAAAGCCUGACGGAGCAACGCCGCGUGAGUGAUGAAGGUCUUCGGAUCGGAAAACUCUGUUAUUAGGGAAGAACAUAUGUGUAAGUAACUGUGCACAUCGUGACGGUACCUAAUCAGAAAGCCACGGCUAACUACG
rnacentral:rRNA from 1 species